rnacentral:rRNA from 1 species
AUUGAACGCUGGCGGCAGGCCUAACACAUGCAAGUCGAGCGGAUGAAGGGAGCUUGCUCCUGGAUUCAGCGGCGGACGGGUGAGUAAUGCCUAGGAAUCUGCCUGGUAGUGGGGGAUAACGUCCGGAAACGGGCGCUAAUACCGCAUACGUCCUGCGGGAGAAAGUGGGGGAUCUUCGGACCUCACGCUAUCAGAUGAGCCUAGGUCGGAUUAGCUAGUUGGUGGGGUAAAGGCCUACUAAGGCGACGAUCCGUAACUGGUCUGAGAGGAUGAUCAGUCACCCUGGAACUGGGACGCGGUCCAGGCUCCUACGGGAGGCAGCAGUGGGGAAUAUUGGACAAUGGGCGAAAGCCUGAUCCAGCCAGGCCGCGUGUGUGAAGAAGGUCUUCGGAUUGUAAAGCACUUUAAGUUGGGAGGAAGGGCAGUAAGUUAAUACCUUGCUGUUUUGACGUUACCAACAGAAUAAGCACCGGCUAACUUCGUG